CUACAGGGGUAUCUAAUCCUGUUUGCUACCCACACUUUCGAGCCUCAACGUCAGUUGCAGUCCAGUAAGCCGCCUUCGCCACUGGUGUUCUUCCAUAUAUCUACGCAUUCCACCGCUACACAUGGAGUUCCACUUACCUCUACUGCACUCAAGUUAACCAGUUUCCAAUGCCAUUCCGGAGUUGAGCUCCGGGCUUUCACAUCAGACUUAAUAAACCGUCUGCGCUCGCUUUACGCCCAAUAAAUCCGGAUAACGCUCGGGACAUACGUAUUACCGCGGCUGCUGGCAC
rnacentral:rRNA from 1 species